UACGUAGGGGGCAAGCGUUGUCCGGAUUUAUUGGGCGUAAAGAGCGUGUAGGCGGCCAGGUAGGUCCGCUGUGAAAACUCGAGGCUCAACCUCGAGAUGUCGGCGGAAACCAUCUGGCUAGAGUCCGGAAGAGGAGAGUGGAAUUCCUGGUGUAGCGGUGAAAUGCGUAGAUAUCAGGAGGAACACCGGUGGUGUAGACGGCUUUCUGGACCGUAACUGACGCUGAGGCGCGAAAGCUAGGGGAGCAAACGGG
rnacentral:rRNA from 1 species